rfam:Pseudomonas syringae pv. pisi str. 1704B contig1913.1, whole genome shotgun sequence.
GUAGCUCAGUUGGUUAGAGCACCACCUUGACAUGGUGGGGGUCGUUGGUUCGAGUCCAAUCGCGCCUA